GUGGGGAAUCUUGCGCAAUGGGCGAAAGCCUGACGCAGCGACGCCGUGUGGGUGAUGAAGGCCUUCGGGUCGUAAAGCCCUGUCAGGGGGGACGAAAUCUUGGCGACCUAAUACGUCGUCGACUUGACGGUACCUCCAAAGGAAGCACCGGCUAACUCCGUGCCAGCAGCCGCGGUAAUACGGAGGGUGCGAGCGUUGUUCGGAAUCACUGGGCGUAAAGCGCGUGUAGGCGGCCUUCUAAGUUUGAUGUGAAAGCCCGGGGCUCACCCCCGGAAGUGCAUUGGAUACUGGGAGGCUGGAGUACCGGAGAGGAGGGUGGAAUUCCUGGUGUAGCGGUGAAAUGCGUAGAUAUCAGGAGGAACACCUGCGGCGAAGGCGGCCCUCUGGACGGAUACUGACGCUGAGACGCGAAAGCGUGGGGAGCAAACAGGAUUAGAUACCCGAGUAGUCC
rnacentral:rRNA from 1 species